rnacentral:rRNA from 1 species
UACGUAGGAGGCAAGCAUUAUCCGGAUUUAUUGGGCGUAAAGUGUGCGUAGGCGGAUCGGUGUGUCUUAUCUUAAAGACCAAGGCUUAACCUUGGAUUUGGAUAAGAAACUACCGAACUAGAGGAUUGAUCAGGAUGCUAGAACAGUUAGUGUAGCAGUGAAAUGCGUUGAUAUUAACUGGAAUACCAAAGGCGAAGGCAGGCAUCUGGGUUUUUCCUGACGCUGAGGCACGAAAGCCAGGGUAGCGAAACAG